AUUGAACGCUGGCGGCAGGCCUAACACAUGCAAGUCGAGCGGAUGAAGGGAGCUUGCUUCUGGAUUCAGCGGCGGACGGGUGAGUAAUGCCUAGGAAUCUGCCUGGUAGUGGGGGACAACGUUUCGAAAGGAACGCUAAUACCGCAUACGUCCUACGGGAGAAAGCAGGGGACCUUCGGGCCUUGCGCUAAUAGAUGAGCCUAGGUCGGAUUAGCUAGUUGGUGAGGUAAUGGCUCACCAAGGCGACGAUCCGUAACUGGUCUGAGAGGAUGAUCAGUCACACUGGAACGGAGACACGGGCCAGACUCCUACGGGAAGCAGCAGUGGGGAAUAUUGGACAAUGGGCGAAAGCCUGAUCCAGCCAUGCCGCGUGUGUGAAGAAGGUCUUCGGAUUGUAAAGCACUUUAAGUUGGGAGGAAGGGUUGUAGAUUAAUACUCUGCAAUUUUGACGUUACCGACAGAAUAAGCACCGGCUAACUCUGUGCCAGCCGCCGCGGUAAUAC
rnacentral:rRNA from 1 species